GACUGUUAAAUGUCCAUUACUCAUGAAAGCAGUGCAGGUACAAGAAGUGGCAGACGUCUGGGGAUUCCUCACUUGUUGAAGCUGAAGCUAUAAUUACAGGAAAAGUUUGCAAUUUUGUUUGACCUAAGCGCUUCGACAACGUGAAUUCAAUUUUGUGUUGAAUAUUUUUACGUUUCUGGAUCAAUAAAUCAAUACCUGAUAUUUUUGGGCGUUACGGGUGAUUGGGAGCAUUUCCAUUUUUUUUUCCGUGUGUAAAUUUCCAACAAUGGAACUUAUAUUUUCCAUGGAAAUGGCAUAUGUACCCCUGGACGCAGAUGGCAGCUACCUAUAAAGGGUUCUAUUAAAAAGGGUUGGAUAAUUUUACGUAAUAAGAUUAAUGAAGGGUGUGCCUUUUAGAAUGAUGUAUCAUGGAUGUUCAUUAUAAUAUGUAAAUCAUUUAACAAAAUAUUUAUUUCUUUUGUGCACAGUUAAUGGAAAUAUCGAUUUGUCUUUAAUCUUUUGAUUUAAAGCUUUAAAACUGCGAUGCACUGCUAGGUCUGAAAAAUAGUCUACGUCUCUGUAUCUUCAGAAUACUAAAUUUUAGUAUUGGCACAAGGACCGCUGUGUUGUGUGAUUUAAAAUUGAAGCCACCGAGGAAACUUUUUCAGCCUUCCCCCCCCCUUAAAAAAAAAAAACAUAAAAUAUGACGCCAGCAGUGACGCUUGUCUUUCAGUCUCUACCCCUGCUGAUUCUCAUAGUCCCAGUCAUGCAGCAGGUGUGUGUAGAGGUGGAUUCAGAGACAGAGGCGGUCAAGGACCAAUCAAUAAGGCUUACGUGCAUCUCUUGUCAGAAGAGGGCAGAGAUCACCAUGGAGUCACAGGUCAACUGGUACUACAUCAACAAGGACAAAAGUGGCAUACAUAUCUUGCAGUAUGUUGACGGACCACUGUAUCUGGAAGGACGCUGGAAGGACCGACUGCUGUGGAAUGGAAGCAGCAACAUGCAAGACCUAUCCGUCUUAAUCAUCAAUGUCACACUGAACGACACCGGCACCUACAAGUGUGAGGUCAUCCGGAGGAUGCCUAACAUGCCGGCCUUUCGUGUCACUAAGUUCAUCCACCUGGUGGUGAGAGAGGAAGCCCUUCCCAACAUCACAGCCUUCUAUUCCGAGAUCAUGAUGUAUGUCGUGCUGACUCUAAUGAGCGUCUGGCUGCUUUUGGCGGUGGUGUUCUGCUUCAGGAAGAUCGCCAGAGCUGAGGCCCGUGCUCAAGACAGUUCGAAUGACUGUCUGUCAAUUCCUAGUGACAAUAAAGAUGAUAUGGCCACCACCAUAGAAGAUUAAGAAUGGGUGUCUCAUACAAAGAACAACAUGACAUGGAGAAAGAGGACACUGCCACAUGACACAGUUCAGAGAAAGCUUUGGAAUUACUUCCCAAUGGAUUAUACAGACAAUCUGGUUUGUUAAUCUGAACAGAUUGAGACCAAUGAUGAGUUUGAAGAUGCGACUCCGGAGUCAGCCAUUUCAAAAGGUAGAGCUAAAGGAAGACUUUAACAGAACCGUGUGAUGGGAGUUACAACAGGGGGGUCAGGAUUGAAAUAAGCUUUCCAUUUCUUUUCACGAGAAAGAUUUGUGAAGCGCUCUUUCACUCUGGAGAUUUGUGUCCUCAUAAUGGCUAAGAUGAACUCAUGUUGCUGUGCAUUAUUGCGAUCUCACAAUUGCAAAGAUGGACUUGUUGUCUGCAUGGACUCACAGAACUUGUGUUAUGUGUCACUGUGGCCCCGCAAUGGCUCCGGGGGAACUUGUGUGACAUGUCGGUUGCAGCUUCAAACACCCUGUUUGGUCAAUGUGUCAUAGACAUUGAAAGGCUUAUUCAAUUGUGUAGCCUUGUGCUUUGUCUUCCCUCACAGAUAAUGACAAUGUGCAUGCCAGUUAUACUGAACAGGAUCCUUAUCGAAUGAAAGCAUUGACCCACCCACACAUGAAAUUAUGAGCCGGGCACAAAGAGCUGUGUAUGGAAUAUGCUGAAAACUGAACCUACCAUUUGCAAUGAUGCGGUAAAUUUGACAAAUGAGAGUCAAAUCUGGUUUAAUCCACUUAUGAAUUUUCAAGGAUAAAUCAAUUUAC